rnacentral:rRNA from 1 species
CCAAUAGCGUAUAUUAAAGUUGUUGCAGUUAAAAAGCUCGUGGUUGAAUUUCGGGAUCAAUAUAUCGGUCGUGCCAUCGGUACGUACUGGUAUCAUUGGUCUCUCCUUUCUGACGAACCAUGAUGUCAUUAAUUUGGUGUCAUGGGAAGUUAGGACUGUUACUUUGAAAAAAUUAGAGUGUUUAAAGCAGGCUUUAGCUUGAAUACAUUAGCAUGGAAUAAUGAAAUAGGGCGUUCGAACCUAUUUUGUUGGUUUCUAGGAUCAACGUAAUGAUUAAUAGGGAUAGUUGGGGGAAUUAGUAUUCAAUUGUCAGAGGUGAAAUUCUUGGAUUUAUUGAAGACUAACUACUGCGAAAGCAUUUGCCAAGGAUGUUUUCAUUAAUCAAGAACGAAAGUUAGGGGAUCGAAGACGAUCAGAUACCGUCGUAGUCUUAACCAUAAACUAUGCCGACUAGGGAUCGGAUGAUGUUAAUUUUUUAAUGACUCAUUCGGCGCCUUACG